ACGGGAGGCAGCAGUGGGGAAUAUUGUACAAUGGGGGAAACCCUGAUGCAGCGACGCCGCGUGAGUGAAGAAGUAUUUCGGUAUGUAAAGCUCUAUCAGCAAGGAAGAAAAUGACGGUACUUGACUAAGAAGCUCCGGCUAAAUACGUGCCAGCAGCCGCGGUAAUACGUAUGGAGCAAGCGUUAUCCGGAUUUACUGGGUGUAAAGGGAGCGUAGACGGCAAAGCAAGUCUGAAGUGAAAUCCCGGGGCUCAACCCCGGAACUGCUUUGGAAACUGUUUAGCUAGAGUGCAGGAGAGGUAAGCGGAGUUCCUAGUGUAGCGGUGAAAUGCGUAGAUAUUAGGAGGAACACCAGUGGCGAAGGCGGCUUACUGGACUGUAACUGACGUUGAGGCUCGAAAGCGCGGGUAGCGAACAGGAUUAGAUACCCUGGUA
rnacentral:rRNA from 1 species